GGCAACCAAACAUGGUGUAGCUCUCGUUAUUUGUGGUUCUUUCUGGGAAUUGAAUUUGGAGUUGGAAUUAUUAAUUUUCUCAACGAUUGACACGGAGAUCGCAAUCGCGAGCACUUACGAAGAUCUGAUGAAGCUCUCAAAGACCUCUUGCGAAGAAGGUAAGCUGGAGAAGCUUUUGUCUGUUUUGAUCUUCUGCUUCUUUAGAUUGUUUCUAAAAUUUCGUUCCGAAACCUGAAAUUUUUUGUUUUUUUAAAAAGUGGUUCUUACAUGCUCUUUGAUGAUUCGUCUCAUCUUUUGUCUUCUCCUCUCCGGCUUCAGCUUAGUAAGCAGAGGUUGAGUGCUUGCUAGUGAUGUAAUUUGUCUUCUUUAAUAUAGUCAUUCCAGGAAAACGCAAAGCAUGUAAGCUAAGAAAAAUUUUCCCCCCUUUUUAAUACAGUACAUGGAAUUUGAUUGGAGUUUUAGGAAACUAAGCAUGAUUCAUCAAAUUAAAUAUAACAAAAACAAACAGUGGGAUUGGACAAUCAAAUAAUAAAGCAGCAAUAAGUCUUUAGUAGGCUCCUUGACAUUUCCUCUUUGUGUAAAAUAUUUCAACUCCUUUAUGAAUUGGGAUUUGAUGAUUGAUAUUUAUUGAAGCAUGUUAAUUUAUAUUUGAAGAUGCAAUUGCUGUGUUAACUCAGUUGAUAAGUGGAUUUGCUCCCCACUUUACUGGUCAAGAUUCCAAUAUUGGAGUCAGAUCACAAGUGAGGUAGUUUCCUCUUCCUAUCUGAAAUUCCCAGUGUGUAUGAUUAACCUUGACUGAAAUGGGAAUGUAGAACUAUUACAGAACCUGAGAUUUUGCCCAUUAUAUGCCUAGUAAAGAACUGCAGUCUGCAGAACUCUUUCUUCUCUCCAGCUAACAUACUGGAUAUGCAGCGCUUUCGUGUUGGCGAUUUUGCCAAAUUAUCUUUCCUCUGCAUUCUCAUAACUCAAUGGGGGUAGAUGGGUAUACCACCAAUCUGGUCACUCCUGCUAAGAUGGUAAUUGAUGAAUACGACAAGCAACAGGUGGAAGUGAAGAAGUAAGAAAAUAAUCUGCAAGGGAUUUUUUGACUCUCUUUUUAGGAUCAUUUUGUCUACUUAAGACUAUUAGGGAUUCUGAAUUUGAUAUUCUUGUUUUCGUCACUUGAAUUGAGUAGCAAAAGAAAUUGCAGAACAUUUAGUUAUGCUAAUUAUGAUUUUGUAAAAUUUAGUAUAUGUUUUUUA